rnacentral:rRNA from 1 species
GACGAACGCUGGCGGCGUGCUUAACACAUGCAAGUCGAACGGUGAAGCUCCAGCUUGCUGGGGUGGAUCAGUGGCGAACGGGUGAGUAACACGUGAGCAACCUGCCCCUGACUCUGGAAUAAGCGCUGGAAACGGCGUCUAAUACUGGAUACGCGAUGGGUCUGCAUGGGCACUUUCUGGAAAGUGUUUCGGUUGGGGAUGGGCUCGCGGCCUCUCAGCUUGUUGGUGAGGUAGUGGCUGACCAAGGCGACGACGGGUAGCCGGCCUGAGAGGGCGACCGGCCAGAUUGGGACUGAGAUACGGCCCAGAGUACUACGGGAGGCAGCAGUGGGGAAGAUUGCACAAUGGGCGAAAGCCGGAUGCAGCGACGUCGCGUGAGGGAUGACGGGCAUCGGUUUGUAAACCGCUUUCGGCAGGGAAGAAGCGAAAGUGACGGUACUUGCAGAAGAAGCACCGGCUAACUACGUG